rnacentral:rRNA from 1 species
UACGUAGGGAGCGAGCGUUGUCCGGAUUUAUUGGGCGUAAAGAGCGUGUAGGCGGCCAGGUAGGUCUGCUGUGAAAACUCGAGGCUCAACCUCGAGACGUCGGCGGAAACCAUCUGGCUAGAGUCCGGAAGAGGAGAGUGGAAUUCCUGGAUGUAGCGGUGAAAUGCGCAGAUAUCAGGAAGAACACCCGUGGCGAAGGCGGCUCUCUGGGACGGUACUGACGCUGAGACGCGAAAGCGUGGGGAGCGAACAGG